rnacentral:tRNA from 1 species
UGUCCGGGUGGUCGGCGGCGAACUUCUGGUUCACGAUCAGGACGGUGGUGGGGAACUCGCCGGGCUUGCCGGUACCGGUCCCGUCCCAGAGGUCC